rnacentral:rRNA from 1 species
GACGAACGCUGGCGGCGUGCCUAAUACAUGCAAGUCGAACGAGAGCGCCCGGUGCUUGCCCUGGUCAAUCUAGUGGCGAACGGGUGAGUAACACGUGGGUAACCUGCCCAUCAGAGGGGGAUAACAUCCGGAAACGGAUGCUAAAACCGCAUAGGUCUUCGAGCCGCAUGGCUUGAAGAGGAAAAGAGGCGCAAGCUUCUGCUGAUGGAUGGACCCGCGGUGCAUUAGCUAGUUGGUGAGGUAACGGCUCACCAAGGCCGUGAUGCAUAGCCGACCUGAGAGGGUGAUCGGCCACAUUGGGACUGAGACACGGCCCAAACUCCUACGGGAGGCAGCAGUAGGGAAUCUUCCGCAAUGGACGCAAGUCUGACGGAGCAACGCCGCGUGAGUGAAGAAGGUUUUCGGAUCGUAAAACUCUGUUGUUAGAGAAGAACAAGUGCUAGAGUAACUGUUAGCGCCUUGACGGUAUCUAACCAGAAAGCCACGGCUAACUACGUG